CUGCACUAGAAGAAGUAGUGUCAGUGGUGAAGAGGCAGCGUACGGCCUGCGCACCGGAGAGAACUUAUUGUCUCAUUUUUCUGUUUUUACAGGCCGCAGCUGACCAUUGAAACAGCAGACUAGAUGGCAGUUUGAUCCCAAACAUCAGAAACCCAGCUGCGCUGAAGCGCCGUGCUGCAGUGAACAUUCAGUGCGUGGAAGUGCAUGACACAUGCCAUCGCUGUUUACUUCUGUUACUGUUGUGUCAGCGAAGCCCCCUCAGCUGACAUCACAUUACGGGUCUUCUGUGUAAGGCCCUCGCAAACACUGUGACCUUUUGAACCCUGGCAGACAUCCACCCGCCAGCUCCAACAUUCUUCACCUGCUUCACUGCUAUUUCAUCCAUGUGGAAGAGCGCUGCCUGUCGUAGUUCGCCUCUAAUCCCUGAAUCUGAUCCAUACAGCUUUCCACAAAAACACCUCAGAGACCCACGGUGUACUCGUAUCUUGAACAGCUCCAUUAGUUAUCCUCUUUGACCUGGAUGAUCGCUGCUAAUGUUCAGAAGAGCUUAAGCGAAAAGAGCAUGACAUGUGUAUGAGUUACAGAUAUGUACCUGAGAUCUGUGCUAAGGUGAAACCAGAUAGAAACAUAAUGCAACAUAAUCAUUGAUUCAACACUGUUAGCAGCACAUGCAGUGUGUGAUAUUUAUAUGAUGGCUUCAUCUGUUUCCCUUUUCAUUUCUCUUUUAACAUCAAUAUCUUGUUGUAUUUGGCACAAAAGGACAAAACUGGCUGUGCUCAAUUAAAUACUUUUUAAAAUUCUUUUUUUCAGCCCCCCCCAAAAAAGAAUGUAAUGUGAGGUCAAAGGCAGAAAUGUGAAAUUAAUAUAUUAUUAAAUACACACACAAACAAUUUAAAUAGAAAAAAAGAAUCUGAAAAGAUUAUAAUUAAAAGGUUGACACAAAAGACAAAGAAACUAAACCUUCAGGUCCGUGUAACAUGUUUCACAAACCACAUGCAUAACGAGACCAUUUGAACUGAGGCUACUCUUUAUCAGUUACACUAAUGAUUGUUCAGCAGCUCAUGAUUAUCAGACAAAAGCUCCC
ensembl:lncRNA